GUGGGGAAUAUUGGGCAAUGGGGGAAACCCUGACCCAGCAACGCCGCGUGAAGGAAGAAGGCUUUCGGGUUGUAAACUUCUUUUAUGAGGGAAGAUAAUGACGGUACCUCAUGAAUAAGCCACGGCUAACUACGUGCCAGCAGCCGCGGUAAUACGUAGGUGGCGAGCGUUAUCCGGAUUUAUUGGGUGUAAAGGGCGUGUAGGCGGGACAGCAAGUCAGAUGUGAAGACCAGAGGAUCAACCUCUGGCCUGCAUUUGAAACUGUUGUUCUUGAGUGUCGGAGAGGUAAUCGGAAUUCCGUGUGUAGCGGUGAAAUGCGUAGAUAUACGGAGGAACACCAGUGGCGAAGGCGGAUUACUGGACGAUAACUGACGCUGAGGCGCGAAAGCUAGGGUAGCAAACAGGAUUAGAAACCCGUGUAGUCC
rnacentral:rRNA from 1 species